rnacentral:lncRNA from 1 species
GGUAGAACACGGUUUGGUUCCCAGUUGAGAGGGAGGCUCACAAACGGACUGUAACUCCAGUCUGAGAAAUCAGGCUUUUUUUUUUUUUUUUUUUUUUUGGAACCACACAAAUGUGGUAUACAGACAGACAGACACACACAAAGCAAAAAACCCAUACACAUUUUUAAAAGAAAAAGAAAGAAAAAAGCAAGGUAGGGCACUUGCCAAGGCAGCAUGAGGUCAUGGAUUUAUGCCCUGCAUAAAUGCUACAAAACAAGCAGGAGCAUUUGGGAUGGAGUCUUGGAAGAGAGUCAUAAGUCCAUCACAUAGCACGUUUGAGGCCAGCUGGGACUACAUGAGACCCUGUCUUUCACACAGACACAGCUAAAAGGGUACCAUGCCAGGCAGUGGUGGCACACACCUUUCACCCCAGCACUCAAGAGGCAGAGGCAGAGGUAGAGGCAGCUUGGUCUACAGGCUGAGCUCCUGGACAGUCAGGGCAACAAAGGGAAACCCUGUCUC